AGAGCCUUUCACAGGUGAUGGGCGGGGAAGAACGAAGGGAACAAUGAGUGUGUGUUGUUUCCUGGCUGUUGCUCCCUGCAGGUUGUGCCAAAAGCUGUUGCACUGAGGGAGAAUGGGAAGUAUUCAAAGCCUGGUGGCUUCCACAAGUGAACUCAUCAGUGAGUGGUCUUUGGCUCCAUUUUCAUUUCCUUCACAGAGGUAAGAGUUGAGAUGGGAAAAAAUUCCCUGGCAGCAAGAUUCAAGUCUGACAUCCCAACUCUACAGAUGCCCUACUGCCCAGGACUGGCUGAAAGACUUUGGAGGGAAAAGGUCUUUUUCAUCUGUUUCAUUAUGUUCUGAAGCAUGCUAGGAUUGUAGGAGACGAAGACAGCUGAUGUCUCCUUUUAGCCCGUGUGUGCCCGCCAGUAACGUGAUCGCAGUAAUGAGAAACCUUUUAAAGCAAAUAAUCCAUGUGGUUUUGAUAAGUAAACAACAAAUAAGCCAGCGAGAGGCUCCUUUGACUUUCAGGAAAGAAUAUUUGCAGUGUCCCUCUUGGACACGCGUGUUGCCCCCCUAUGAUCUGUGUGGAGUUAUAGGGAGGCCACCUCUCCCGGCCAUCUGCAGAGCUGGGCAUGGGUCUGGCUCCGUGGGCUGCUGGUGGUAAAUGGCUUACCAGUGCAAGGCUGCGGAGCUGCACGUUGGGUGCCUUGGAGCAUAAGGGAGCUGCUGCAAUCAGAGGGCGUCUGCUGGUAAGAUCGGAUUGCAAGACCAAGCCUGGCGUAAUAUGAGAUGAAUUUCAAAUGGAGGUUAUAAUAUGAACUCUGCAGCAUGUUACAGCUCAUCUGGCUUUCCCUAACAGGAAGAGUGGCAGGAUGCCCGUGCUGUCCUCUUCCCUGUGGUUUAUUGUCCAAUCAUAUAAGAAAGUUCUGAAGGAGCAACUGGAAUGAGCCUUCAAGCUGACCAUCCGACCUUCUUCCCAUGCAAACCAUGGUCCUCUGCUUCACCAAAGGAACAGCUGCGUUUGGAGCUUCUCUGACUUCACCUGGAGGGCCGCAGGGCACUGGGGCUAUCGACUGGACUCUUCCUCUUGUCCUGGCACAGCUCAUUGGAUACCAGUCCCAGUCCUGCCUUUUUCACCAGGGCUCACCUGAAGGCUGCAGGAAGCUCGCAUCUGUCCACUGGAUUCUUCUUGUGGUGGUGCAGAGGCUCAGAGGACCCAGUCUCAGUCUUUCCCGUUUCCUCAGAGCUUGGGAAAGAAGAGGUGAUCUUUUGGAAAGAAGAGUACACUUAGUUGAACAUCUUGAAAUAGAAAGUACUAACUUAGAGUCUAUGAAAUUUCUCAGUCCUGUUAUACUUCUCCCAGCAUCUAAAAAACAGCCUGGAAACAAACAAUAUGAGAGAAUUCAUAUAAACGUAAGAAAUUUAGAUUAAAAACACAAACAGGCUCAGGGGAAGGAGGGCAGAACCCAGCAUUUCAGGAAUGUGUUGCUUUCAUCGUUCUUUCACCGCUCCAAGACCCGCGGGCCCA
ensembl:lncRNA